AAAAAGAUAGACAUUGUGAGUGUUGAUUCUCACGUUUUAUUCAUGUCCUUGGAAUCUUUAGACGACUUCCAAUCAAACGGAGACAUGUACGUCAAGUGUGUGAUAACACCUCCAGCCAAAGAGCAAGUAGAAGCCUGCAGAGAAGCUGAGUGUUGCUUCACUGAACAAUGUUUCCUGUUUUAGCUGAAUAUGAGCCGAACAUGUGGUUUCACAGGGUGGGGCUUCCUUUAUGAAAACGUCCUAAAGUCACAACAUUGUUCAGUUCCUCUAAGUCCGUCUUCGUCUUCACAUCUCUUGCUUUGCUGGAGAAUCCCUUCUAAGCAGCAGCAGCAGCACCAUGGCACAGGUCACAGUGGAGUACUGACAGCUUUGAGGUGUCGGUAA
rnacentral:lncRNA from 1 species